CUUCACAGGGCGAUCCAGAAAUCCUCAUCCGAGAACAUGGCCAGAGCCCGGGCCGCUCCCCGACCUCCAACCGCCAGAGCGAGCACAGCCGCCCCCCACUCGGGGGGGCUUAGGGAGACCAAGAACGGUAAAUCCAGGUUCCAGCAGUUUAGGUUUCCAUGAACAGCCCCAGGGCGGCGAAUCCCGAGCGGACACAAAGAGAGCACCGGUGGCUUUGAUCUUGGGCGAGCAGGCUCCGCAUCCGCGUCGCGGGGCGGCCUCUCAGUCCUAGGGCCCGGCCAGCGCCCCGGCCGCCCGCGCCGGGCUCGGGCGGAACGUCGAGGCUCUCCAGAUGGAACGUCGAGGCGCCUCCCCAGCAGCCCGGAAGGAAUGCCGCGCCGCGCCGCGCCGCGCGCCGGGCCCGGAUGGAACGUGAGCCCCUCGCAGCCGCGCCGAGCCCCUCUCCCCGCCGGGCCGGCGCCCCGGGGCCGCG
rnacentral:lncRNA from 1 species